GCCGGUGUAGCUCAAUGGCAGAGCAACGCUUUUGUAAAGCGAAGACAGGUGUCCGAUUCACCUCACCGGCUCCC
rnacentral:tRNA from 2 species